rnacentral:sRNA from 1 species
AUCUGCUUUUGUUGCCAGUCUUUCACAAAGCAGGGGAAGAGUUAUGGCUGGGGUCAUGGAAGUUUUCUCCUGCACCCCGUUCUAGUUUGAUGGUUUUAGAUUUUUACAUCUAGGAAUGGAUUCCUGUAUCCAGUAUAAGGUCCCACCCUCCCAAGAGUAAGCAAAGAAGAUUCAGACAAGAUAACCACAAAGAAGAGACUGAGACAGGACCAGCUUCCUAGAAGAAACAGAGACCAAGACAUUUGGGAAGGACACGCUCCAAACUUUUGAGCUGACUACAGGCUGUGCAAUGUGCUCCAGGUUCUUGACUUUUCUGAGCUGUCACCUGUGCUGUGGUAAACUUUGGUGAUGCAACUGUCCUUAAAUCAUUUCUGCUUUUGCAUCCAGACGUCUGGUGCACAUGCUGAAUUCCCAGAGCCUGUCUGGAGACAUGGGCGGGCUCUGCUCCCCUGACAUCUUUCCCCAGAAGCCUUUCUGUUUCUCCCUCUUUUUCCCUCCUGGAUUCUUCAGCAAAAAGGCUUACAGCUUGAGAGGGCAAAGUUUCUAGUUUACAAUCCCUGCUUCCCCCAGUGUUAAGGGCAUAUCAAGCCGUGCUUAAUGCAUGAGAAGGCUUAAUGAAACUUAGCAUUUUGGUUCUUGACGACUGGCCAGUUCACACGCCACUGACUCCCAAAGGAUUCAUAGUAAGUCUUUAACUUGACCCUUAGAAAGCAUUUAAGAAAAUUCAGGGAACCCAUCAAAACAAAACCCACAACCAGAUGCUGAGCUGUGAGCUAUGAGCAGCAGGCAUGUACUGGUCAAGGAAUUAGAUUACUCAAGGUGGUGACUCAUUCAGCAACUAUGUAGUGUUUGUGGUCGGGGAAACCUUCGCCAGAACAUGACUAAAAUCUAUUGGCAGCUUCUUAAAAGGAAUCAUGACGGGGCCUAAACCAAUGAGUAUAUCAGAGAACAACUCCGACAGUCAGUUGGAUCUCUUCUUUCACCACAUGGUUCUGAGGACCAAAGUCAGGCUCAGUGAGUGUCCUGUCAACACCAGGGCACGAAAGAAAGAAGAUGCCACCCACCGGAUCAGUGAUUGAGACAGGACACAGGAAAAUUAGCGAUACAGAAAAAGACAAGGCCUAACUGUUCUUGAAAACACCUUAAAGGGCAUUUCCUUAAAGAUUGACCACACCUGCCUUUCAACUUGGCCUUUCGUACGAAUCUACCUGGAUGUCUGCCUGCCACAGUGCAGCCUUCCAACUUGGCCAUUGUCAUCCAAGAUUUUCUUUAUCAUUCUGAAUGCUGACUUUGGCUUUCAUGAACGGCCAAAAUGACAACUUGGAAUAAUAAAGUCCACUCAUUUUUAAAUAUGGCGGGAGACGUCUCAGGAAGAUUGAGGGCAUUCGGAUGGGAAAGCAGCCCUUCCUGAACUCACUUCUUCUUGGACUUUUAAUUCUCCAGUCAUCCCUCAGGCAGGAAUGAUGUCUGUAUCAGAAGAAUGGAAUGCAUGGCAGUAUUGGAGCCCUCCCUUGGGAGCUUUUAGCAUAAUUUGUGAUUGAGUUCAAGCCUGGAAUUUGUCCCGGCCCCUAAUCAAUCCUUAGGUAUUUCUGUUCUCUUCAUGUUCGUGGGGCAGGCUGCCCAUCUUGUUAUGGCCUUCCCUUGACAUUCUGAAAUACAACGUAUUGAUUGUCACUUUGCUCUCCCCUGUCUGGUAGCUUUGUAGACUCUCACCGAUGAGAGGGGAUCUGUACUAUGUAUUCACCUGCACAAGAGUUGCAUUCUUGGGAUUCACAUUGGUUCGAGUGUCUGCUGUGCCCAGAAAUCCUGAGAGGCAGUCAGCCCAGCCCCACCCUGCAAUCUGAUGUCUAUAUAUUAUGAAGGGGAAAGAAGAGGGCACUUGGAUAUAUGCAUCUGCUUGCAAUUUCCUAAUGGAAUCUGGCAGAAGAGCCUUGCAAUAGGAUAGGUUCCAGUAAAAAGUGCAUUCACAGAAGCAGUUCCCUGGGGCUUGACACCUAUUUGCCCUUUGAGAGCAUUGGGGAGAUGAAUCAUGGAAUGAGUCAGCGUUGGGUCAGCAAAGACUAGUGCUCUGAUGGGGGAGGGAGGGGAGGACUCUAAUUGUGUCCGUUUUAAUCAGAGCAUAUGCUUAGAGGAAGAAUCGAGGCAAGCAAGGUCCUGGAGGGGGAAACAUUUAAUUAUCAAAGACCAGGACUUCUGUAUCAUGCUGGGUCUUGGUGCUGCAGUUGCGGGAGAAGGCUGCACUAGAAAUUAUCUUAAAGGAGAAAGCAUGGUGCUGGAGCACGGAGCUGCCACUGAGACUAGAAGAGAACAGAUUUGAGGAGUAGAGGUCUUCCCUCUCAGAGGACCACUCUCAGGUGUGGCAAGCAUCUCGAGGCUAGAAAUACAACUCGGAAGGGUUUCUCCGCCUUCAUCUGUGUCAGUGUCUUUGGGUCUCCCCUGCCCCCUGCGUCUAAGUGGACCAGGGCUAUAAAUUUGAGCCAGGGAUGUCAAAGUAAACUUUCAAAAGCCUCUUGUGUGCCCCACCAUACCAUUCCCUUAUUAUUUCCAGCCUCACUUUAGGUCCCAGGCAGUGGGCUCAACGGUCAUGUUUUGACAUUGUGCCUUAAUAAACCUUCCUCCCCCUGGGUUGCUUAUGUCAGGUAUUUUGCUACAGAGAUGAGAUCCAAACAUUUACUUUCUUCAAAAAGAUGAGCGUUUUGUCAUUUUUUCCCCUCAGCAAUUCCUGACAGGUAUAAAUAAGGACCAUAUUUGUUUAUGGUUCACGUAAACAGCAUGCCUAAGUGUAGAUUCUUGGUUAGGGAUACUUCCUUUUUCCAAAUAUUACGUUUAUCUCUUUAACUUCAUAUGCAUGCUAUUUGCACAUUAACUCCCGACUUCUUUCCCCGUCUGAUUCCAGGUCCCCCCUUCUCCUUUCUCUCAAGUUCAUGGGCUCUUUUUUCUUUGUCAGUAACACACACUGAUUGUCUUACUUAGGGUUGUUAUUGCUGUGACGAUGAUACUGUGAGCAAGGUAAGGUGGGGAAGAAAGGGUUUAUUUGACUUACAUUUACAUAAUCUAUCAUCAAAUGUAGUAAGGGACGGAAUCUGGAGGUAGGAGAUGAUGCAGAGGCCACGAAGGGGUGGUACUUAUUAGCUUGCUCACUUUGGCUAGCUCAAUCUGCUUUUUUGAUAGAACCCAGGACCCCCAGACCCGGGGAUGGCACCGUGCACAAUGGCUUGUGUCCUGCCCUAUUAAAACUCUGGUUAAGAAAAUGCCUCACAGGUUUGCCUACAGCCAAAUCUUUGGGGACACUUU